AUUGAACGCUGGCGGCAGGCCUAACACAUGCAAGUCGAACGGUAACAGGAAGCAGCUUGCUGCUUUGCUGACGAGUGGCGGACGGGUGAGUAAUGUCUGGGAAACUGCCCGAUGGAGGGGGAUAACUACUGGAAACGGUAGCUAAUACCGCAUAAUGUCGCAAGACCAAAGAGGGGGACCUUCGGGCCUCUUGCCAUCGGAUGUGCCCAGAUGGGAUUAGCUAGUUGGUGAGGUAACGGCUCACCAAGGCGACGAUCCCUAGCUGGUCUGAGAGGAUGACCAGCCACACUGGAACUGAGACACGGUCCAGACUCCUACGGGAGGCAGCAGUGGGGAAUAUUGCACAAUGGGCGCAAGCCUGAUGCAGCCAUGCCGCGUGUAUGAAGAAGGCCUUCGGGUUGUAAAGUACUUUCAGCGGGGAGGAAGGGGUUAAGGUUAAUAACCUUAGCCAUUGACGUUACCCGCAGAAGAAGCACCGGCUAACUCCGUGCCAGCCGCCGCGGUAA
rnacentral:rRNA from 1 species